rnacentral:ncRNA from 1 species
CGUGAGUAACAGCGAAUGACGAGAAGUCAGCAGAGGUCAUAGUAGCAUUGUGGUUGCAAACACAAUGGGAAGGAC